rnacentral:lncRNA from 1 species
CAUGAUUAGCGGGGUAUAGAGUAGAGAAACACGUAAUGUAAUGCUCAAGACAAACCGGCCAACCAGGGCAGCCAGCCACCCUGGCUUAGGUUGACUCGUUGCUGGGCCAACUAGCCGUUCAUCACACCGUACCAGGUAUACUCUAUUUCCUCCCAACCAAAGCAACUCAUGAAGCACACAAGUCUAAAAAUAAUUAUCUAUGUAUGUUUCUCUCUGGAGGGCGGUGACCAACUGCGGCCGCGGUAGCGGAGAUCAACAGCGGCAAUAGUGGUGGUGUGGCGGAGGCAGUUUUGUGACGCGGACUGGUUACUCGGUUGCCCGGCACCGGCAGUGGAUCUGGAUUCCGGCGGCAUGGCGGGUCUUUACUGACCUUGUACGAGGAGUCCCCUGGCUUUUGAUGGCUUGAGCUGGCCAUCUUCUGUCAGCACGAGGUGCUUCGGUCAUAUCUUGCUGUGUGAACUAUGCGUGAUUUAUGAUGUUGUUGCUGUUGAAUAUCUGUCCAACUAUCUUAACUGAUGUGUUGUCGUUGGCCAUAUCUUGCUGCUGAUUCUGGGCUAUUGAUCAUGUGUUGUUGUUGGUCUUAAAUCAUGUGGGUUUUUCCUGUGAAGUGCUCUGUGAUCAAGUUUUGAUCAUUUUCUAAAUUCAUAUAAACCUGCGAUGUUCCGGCACUGUCUUGUAAUUUAAAUUGUUGUUGUAAGACCCCACUGAUGCAUUGUCA